rnacentral:snoRNA from 1 species
UCUCUGUGAUGAAUGUAACAUGACAAGCAUGUGACUAAAUUCUAAGUGAUGUCAUCUUACUAGUAAGGAA